CCUACGGGAGGCAGCAGUGGGGAAUUUUGGACAAUGGGCGCAAGCCUGAUCCAGCAAUGCCGCGUGCAGGAUGAAGGCCUUCGGGUUGUAAACUGCUUUUGUACGGAACGAAACGGUUCGCUUUAAUACAGUGGGCUAAUGACGGUACCGUAAGAAUAAGCACCGGCUAACUACGUGCCAGCAGCCGCGGUAAUACGUAGGGUGCGAGCGUUAAUCGGAAUUACUGGGCGUAAAGCGUGCGCAGGCGGUUUUGUAAGACAGAUGUGAAAUCCCCGGGCUCAACCUGGGACCUGCAUUUGUGACUGCAAGGCUAGAGUACGGUAGAGGGGGAUGGAAUUCCGCGUGUAGCAGUGAAAUGCGUAGAUAUGCGGAGGAACACCGAUGGCGAAGGCAAUCCCCUGGACCUGUACUGACGCUCAUGCACGAAAGCGUGGGGAGCAAACAGGAUUAGAUACCCUGGUAGUCCACGCCCUAAACGAUGUCAACUGGUUGUUGGGUCUUCACUGACUCAGUACGAAGCUAACGCGUGAGUGACGCCGNGGAGGUACGGCCGCGAGUAGAACGUACGAANAGAGUUAGACGGCGUGAGACGUGCCGACGGACGACGACGAGGGAGGAGG
rnacentral:rRNA from 1 species